AGCUUUGCGCAGUGGCAGUAUCGUAGCCAAUGAGGUUUAUCCGAGGCGCGAUUAUUGCUAAUUGAAAACUUUUCCCAAAAUUAUCCUUGCAUUCUUACUAUUGCGUAAUAAAGUUUUAGCAUUAAAAUGC
rnacentral:snRNA from 1 species